rnacentral:rRNA from 1 species
UGCAAGUCGAGCGGGGUAUGGGGGCAACCUCAUUUUCAGCGGCGGACGGGUGAGUAAUGCAUCGGAACGUAUCCCGUAGUGGGGGACAACCCAGCGAAAGCUGGGCUAAUACCGCAUAUGCUCUGAGGAGGAAAGCAGGGGACCUGGAAGGGCCUUGUGCUAUGGGAGCGGCCGAUGUCCGAUUAGCUGGUUGGCGGGGUAAAGGCUUACCAAGGCGACGAUCGGUAGCUGGUCUGAGAGGAUGAUCAGCCACACUGGGACUGAGACACGGCCCAGACUCCUACGGGAGGCAGCAGUGGGGAAUUUUGGACAAUGGGGGCAACCCCGAUCCAGCCAUGCCGCGUGCGGGAAGAAGGCCUUCGGGUUGUAAACCGCUUUUGGCCGGGAAGAAAAGGCUCUGGCUAAUACCCGGGGCUACUGACGGUACCGGCAGAAUAAGCACCGGCUAACUACGUGCCAGCAGCCGCGGUAAUACGUAGGGUGCGAGCGUUAGUCGGAAUUACUGGGCGUAAAGCGUGCGCAGGCGGUUGGUUAAGUCCGAUGUGAAAGCCCCGGGCUCAACCUGGGAAUGGCAUUGGAAACUGGCUUACUGGAGUGUGGCAAAAGGGGGGUGGAAUUCCCCGUGUAGCAGUGAAAUGCGUAGAGAUGCGGAGGAACACCGAUGGCGAAGCAG